rnacentral:rRNA from 1 species
CCUACGGGAGACAGCAGUGGGGGAUAUUGCACAAUGGGGGAAACCCUGAUGCAGCGACACCGCGUGGGUGAAGAAGCGCUUCGGCGUGUAAAGCCCUAUCAGUGGGGAAGAAAAAGGACGGUACCCAAAGAAGAAGCACCGGCUAAAUACGUGCCAGCAGCCGCGGUAAUACGUAUGGUGCAAGCGUUAUCCGGAAUGACUGGGUGUAAAGGGAGCGUAGACGGUUGUACAAGUCUGAUGUGAAAGCCCACGGCUCAACUGUGGGAGUGCAUUGGAAACUGUAGAACUAGAGUAUCGGAGAGGCAAGUGGAAUUCCUAGUGUAGCGGUGAAAUGCGUAGAUAUCUGGAGGAACAUCAGUGGCGAAGGCGACUAUCUGGCACAUAACUGACGCUGAGGAGCGAAAGCGUGGGUAGCAAACAGGAUUAGAUACCCGAGUAGUC